AAACCACCAAGGAGCAGGUAUCAGGCACAACCCAUUAGCCCAAAACACCUUGCUACGCCACACCCACACGGGCACCCAGCAGUGAUAAAUAUUAAGCAAUGAGUAAAAGCUAAAUAAAGCUCGACUUAGUUAUGGUUAUUAGGGCCGGUAAACCUCGUGCCAGCCACCGCGGUUAUACGAGGGGCCCAAAACAACAGACACCGGCGUAAAUUGUGACUAGAGCACCUACUUACAUCAUUGGAAAAAUAAACAAAAACUCAAUCGUAAAACCUGAGCCAAAAGAAACAUACUUUUCCAACUACAAAGAAGCUUGAACCCACGAAGACUAAGAAACAAACUAGGAUUAGAUACCCUACUAUGCUUAGUUGUUAAUAUGAUACCAAAAACACUGGUAUCCGCCAGAAAAUUACACGCGAAAAGCUUAAAACUCAAAGGACUUGGCGGUGCUCCGUAUUCGCCUUAGAGGAGCCUGUCCUAUAAUCGAUAACCCACGCUUUACCUUACCAUCUUUUGUCAAAACAGCCUAUAUACCGCCGUCGCAAACUUACCCCAUGAGGGCAAAACAGUAAGUAAAAUAGUAGUACACUAACACGUCAGGUCAAGGUGUAGCUAAUAAGAUGGAAGAGAUGGGCUACAUUUUCUAAAACAGAAUACACGGCAAAGAGCAUUGAAAUAUGCUCUAAAAGGCGGAUUUAAUAGUAAGAUAGAAAAGAAGACCUAUCUAAAAA
rnacentral:rRNA from 1 species